AGAGUUUGAUCCUGGCUCAGGACGAACGCUGGCGGCGUGCCUAAUACAUGCAAGUCGAGCGAGCUUGCCUAGAUGAUUUUAGUGCUUGCACUAAAUGAAACUAGAUACAAGCGAGCGGCGGACGGGUGAGUAACACGUGGGUAACCUGCCCAAGAGACUGGGAUAACACCUGGAAACAGAUGCUAAUACCGGAUAACAACACUAGACGCAUGUCUAGAGUUUGAGAGAUGGUUCUGCUAUCACUCUUGGAUGGACCUGCGGUGCAUUAGCUAGUUGGUAAGGUAACGGCUUACCAAGGCAAUGAUGCAUAGCCGAGUUGAGAGACUGAUCGGCCACAUUGGGACUGAGACACGGCCCAAACUCCUACGGGAGGCAGCAGUAGGGAAUCUUCCACAAUGGACGAAAGUCUGAUGGAGCAACGCCGCGUGAGUGAAGAAGGGUUUCGGCUCGUAAAGCUCUGUUGGUAGUGAAGAAAGAUAGAGGUAGUAACUGGCCUUUAUUUGACGGUAAUUACUUAGAAAGUCACGGCUAACUACGUGCCAGCAGCCGCGGUAAUACGUAGGUGGCAAGCGUUGUCCGGAUUUACUGGGCGUAAAGCGAGUGCAGGCGGUUCAAUAAGUCUGAUGUGAAAGCCUUCGGCUCAACCGGAGAAUUGCAUCAGAAACUGUUGAACUUGAGUGCAGAAGAGGAGAGUGGAACUCCAUGUGUAGCGGUGGAAUGCGUAGAUAUAUGGAAGAACACCAGUGGCGAAGGCGGCUCUCUGGUCUGCAACUGACGCUGAGGCUCGAAAGCAUGGGUAGCGAACAGGAUUAGAUACCCUGGUAGUCCAUGCCGUAAACGAUGAGUGCUAAGUGUUGGGAGGUUUCCGCCUCUCAGUGCUGCAGCUAACGCAUUAAGCACUCCGCCUGGGGAGUA
rnacentral:rRNA from 1 species